rnacentral:rRNA from 1 species
GACAGAGGGUGCAAACGUUGUUCGGAAUUACUGGGCGUAAGCGUGCGUAGACGGUAGCGUAAGUCGGGUGUGAAAGCCCCGGGCUCAACCUGGGAAUUGCAUUCGAGACUGCUCUGCUAGGGUGCGGAAGAGGGAAGCGGAAUUUCCGGUGUAGCGGUGAAAUUCCGUAGAUAUUCGCAAGAACACCAGUGGCGAAGGCGGCUCACUGGCCCGGAACUGACGCUGAGGUGCGAAAGCGU